rnacentral:rRNA from 1 species
GAGGAAUAUAUAGGAAUCUACCUAGCAGUAAGGAAUAACUUUGGGAAACCAAAGCUAAUGCCAUAUAUUACCGUUUAGUUGACUCUAAUCGGGAAAGAUUUAUCGCUGUUAGAUGAGCCUGUAUCAGAUUAGCUAGUUGGUAGGGUAAUGGCCUACCAAGGCAAUGAUCUGUAGCUGGUCUGAGAGGAUGAUCAGCCACACUGGAACUGAGACACGGUCCAGACUCC